rnacentral:rRNA from 1 species
GACGAACGCUGGCGGCGUGCUUAACACAUGCAAGUCGAACGGAAAGGCCCUGCUUUUGUGGGGUGCUCGAGUGGCGAACGGGUGAGUAACACGUGAGUAACCUGCCCUUGACUUUGGGAUAACUUCAGGAAACUGGGGCUAAUACCGGAUAGGAGCUCCUGCUGCAUGGUGGGGGUUGGAAAGUUUCGGCGGUUGGGGAUGGACUCGCGGCUUAUCAGCUUGUUGGUGGGGUAGUGGCUUACCAAGGUUUUGACGGGUAGCCGGCCUGAGAGGGUGACCGGCCACCUUGGGACUGAGAUACGGCCCAGACUCCUACGGGAGGCAGCAGUGGGGAAUAUUGCACAAUGGGCGGAAGCCUGAUGCAGCAACGCCGCGUGCGGGAUGACGGCCUUCGGGUUGUAAACCGCUUUCGCCUGUGACGAAGCGUGAGUGACGGUAAUGGGUAAAGAAGCACCGGCUAACUACGUG